GAUUAAGAACGUAGCGAAAUGCGAUACUUGGUGUGAAUUGCAGAAUCCCGUGAACCAUCGAGUCUUUGAACGCAAGUUGCGCCCGAAGCCAUUAGGCCGAGGGCACGCCUGCCUGGGCGUCACACGUCGUUGCCCCCCCAUCUACUCCUUCGGGAUUGCGGGGGGCGGAUGAUGGCCUCCCGUGCGCCUCGCCGCGCGGUUGGCAUAAAUGCCAAGUCCUCGGCGACGCACGCCACGACAAUCGGUGGUUGCGAAACCUCGGUUGCCCGUCGUGUGCGGUCGUCGCGCAUCGAGGGCUCGAAAAAAUUGCCGGGUUCCGGCUCGGCUUUCAACGCGACCCCAGGUCAGGCGGGGUUACCCGCUGAAUUUAAGCAUAUCAAUAAGCGGAGGA
rnacentral:misc_RNA from 1 species